AACGAACGCUGGCGGCAGGCUUAACACAUGCAAGUCGAACGGUUGUAGCAAUACAGCAGUGGCAGACGGGUGAGUAACACGUGGGAACCUUCCUAGGGGUACGGAACAACUCAGGGAAACUUGAGCUAAUACCGUAUACGUCCGUGAGGAGAAAGAUUUAUCGCCCUUAGACGGGCCCGCGUAGGAUUAGGUAGUUGGUGGGGUAAUGGCCUACCAAGCCUACGAUCCUUAGCUGAUCUGAGAGGAGAUCAGCCACACUGGGACUGAGACACGGCCCAGACUCCUACGGGAGGCAGCAGUGGGGAAUCUUGGACAAUGGGCGCAAGCCCUGA
rnacentral:rRNA from 1 species